rnacentral:rRNA from 1 species
AAUGCCUAGGAAUCUGCCUGGUAGUGGGGGAUAACGUUCGGAAACGGACGCUAAUACCGCAUACGUCCUACGGGAGAAAGCAGGGGACCUUCGGGCCUUGCGCUAUCAGAUGAGCCUAGGUCGGAUUAGCUAGUUGGUGAGGUAAUGGCUCACCAAGGCGACGAUCCGUAACUGGUCUGAGAGGAUGAUCAGUCACACUGGAACUGAGACACGGUCCAGACUCCUACGGGAGGCAGCAGUGGGGAAUAUUGGACAAUGGGCGAAAGCCUGAUCCAGCCAUGCCGCGUGUGUGAAGAAGGUCUUCGGAUUGUAAAGCACUUUAAGUUGGGAGGAAGGGCAUUAACCUAAUACGUUAGUGUUUUGACGUUACCGACAGAAUAAGCACCGGCUAACUCUGUGCC